rnacentral:rRNA from 1 species
UACAGAGGUCUCGAGCGUUGUUCGGAUUCAUUGGGCGUAAAGGGUGCGUAGGUGGUAUGGUAAGUCGGAUGUGAAAUCCCGGGGCUCAACCCCGGAACUGCAUUCGAUACUGCCGUGCUUGAGUACUGGAGAGGAGAUCGGAAUUUACGGUGUAGCAGUGAAAUGCGUAGAUAUCGUAAGGAAGACCAGUGGCGAAGGCGGAUCUCUGGACAGUUACUGA